AGAGUUUGAUCCUGGCUCAGGAUGAACGCUAGCGAUGUGCCUAAGGUAUGCAAGUCGAAAGCCGUAGAGAGCUUGCUCUUUUACGGCUUGGCAGACGGCUGAGUAACGCGUAGGUACUUACCCCUAACACGAGAAUAACCCGCCGAAAGGUGGAUUAAUACUCGAUAGUUUCUUCGGAAUAAAGCUCCGGCGGUUAGGGAUAGGCCUGCGUCCUAUCAGGUAGUUGGUAAGGUAAUGGCUUACCAAGCCUAUGACGGGUAGGGGGCCUGAGAGGGUGUACCCCCAGACUGGGACUGUGACACGGCCCAGACUCCUACGGGAGGCAGCAAUUAGGAAUCUUGCGCAAUGGACGAAAGUCUGACGCAGCGACAUCGCGUGAAGGAUGAAGGCCUUCGGGUUGUAAACUUCUUUUAUAGGGGAACAAGUUCUGAGUGUACCCUAUGAAUAAGGUGCUUCUAACCACGUGCCAGAAGAAUCGGUGAUACGUAGGCACCAAGCGUUAUCCGGAAUUACUGGGCGUAAAGAGAUGCGUAGGCGACUUCUCAAGUCUUCUGUUAAAUCCUUUGGCUUAACCAAAGGCUCGCGGAAGAGACUGAGUUGAUUGAGAUAUUCAGAGGAAAGGGGAAUUCCUGGUGGAGCGGUGGAAUGCGUUGAUAUCAGGAGGAACACCAAUGGCGAAGGCACCUUUCUGGGAAUUAUCUGACGCUAAGGCUCGAAAGCUAGGGUAGCAAAACGGAUUAGAUACCCGUGUAGUCCUAGCCGUAAACGAUCCCUGUUAGAUAUUUGUUUUGUUUCGUAGUACUAUGGUUUACCGUAGUAUUCCGAGCAAAGUGAGUGUCGUAGCUAACGCGUUAAACAGGGCGCCUGGGGAGUACGGCCGCAAGGCUAAAACUCAAAGGAAUUGACGGGGACCCGCACAAGCAGUGGAGCGUUUGGUUUAAUUCGACACUAAGCGAAGAACCUUACCAGGGUUUGAACUGUAGCUGCACACCUUCCGAAAAGAAGGAAUCCUUCGAGGGUGCUACAGAGGUGCUGCAUGGCUGUCGUCAGCUCGUGUCGUGAGAUGUUGGGUUAAGUCCCGCAACGAGCGCAACCCCUAUGUCGUGUUAUAUAUUUCUCGACAUACUGCCUUGCCAAAACGAGGAGGAAGGUGGGGACGACGUCUAGUCAUCAUAGCCCUUAUGUCCUGGGCAACACAAGCGCUACAAUGGACGGUACAACAGGUUGCCAAACCGCAAGGUGGAGCUAAUCCUCUAAAACCGUUCUCAGUUCGGGUUGCAGGCUGAAAUUCGCCUGCAUGAAGUCGGAAUUGCUAGUAAUCGUGGAUCAGCAUGCCGCGGUGAAUACGUUCUCGGGUCUUGUACACACCGCCUGUCAAGUCACGGAAGUCGGCAGUACCCGUAGUCCCCAAUUUAUUGGGGCCGAAGGUAAGGUCGGCGACCAGGGCUAAGUCAUAACAAGGUA
rnacentral:rRNA from 1 species